CUAAUCCAAUCAGAUGGUUUGUUACAGAACGAGUAAGAUUCUUAUCUAAUCAUACGAUUGGAUACAGAAUGAGAUUCUAAUCCAAUCAGAUGGUUUGUUACAGAAUGAGUGAGAACAGUUUUAAAAGCAGCUAUUUACUGGAUGCAACAGUUUGUUUACUUAGCUACAACUGCAAAUUUAGUCUUUGCUCUGAAAUAGGAACAGUGUGGUGGACGUCCAAGCAAAAUUGAUCGCCUGGUAAUAUAUCAAUGUUUCCACCUAGUCAUUCUGUGUGUGACCUUCAGCCUAAGUGUGGUGAUGUGUCAGCCUGAUCGUGCAAAAUGCUGAAAACCAAAAGAAAAGAAACUCAUUAUGCAAAAAGCAUAACCAAUAACAUGUGUCGGGGGGAAAAAAACUGAGCUCAUGUAACAAGUUUUAAAAAAGAAUUGAAAUCACUCUGAGCUCUGCUGUUAUAGAAUUCCUGCAAUAUACACAAAACAUAGACUGUUGACUUGCUGGAGAAUUGUCCAUCGAUUCCAGUGCCGACAGAUUGUCUGCGUUUUGUGCUGUUUGAUCACUUCCCAGUAUGAAGUUUGACAUUUGUAUUCACUAGCUAUUUUACAAGACUUUUGACAUUUGCUGUCAUUCAUUGUUGGCUUGUGUACUUAACUGAAAGUUUUUAACAGCAUGUAUCAAUGUAUAAGUUUUGUUUCAGCAAAUACAAAAUGAGGAGUAAUUUAAAUUAUUUAUUUAUGUUGAUGAUGUGCCAUGAUAAUGUGAUUUAGUUACUAAAUUUUCAGAGAGUUAAGUUGAGGCUCAAUAAUAAUGAUAAAAACAUUCCAGUAUGAACAGUUUGUGGUUAGACAAGUCAUAUUUUAAAUAGCUUUACUAAUUUCUUUUUUACACAGAGGACAACUGUAAACAAAAUUUGAAUUAAAAGACACAUUAUAAUCCUGUAUAAACUAUUGUCACAAAAUUACAGGUAGUGAAAAUAUAUUUUUUGUAAUAGAAGCUUAAACCAGUUUUGAACAUUUUCUAUGCUAUGUACAUCAAUACAAUUUGUUUUCAUAACAUUCACUAAUACUUGAAAACAUUGAUACCUGUAUAUUUUUCAGACAGAUUCUUGAAAUAAUUGUUUGAUGCAUUAAGGCUGAAUAUGUAUAAAUGGUUACAUUACUAUUGUAACACUUAAAUAUCAGUAUCAUAAAGUACAUGUACAUGUAUGUAACUGAAAAAUGCUGGGGUUUGCCUGCCUAUAACUAAGAUAUAAAUUGACAUCAAAUAAUAUUUUGAAUUUAAGAUCUAAUAAAGAGUUUCCCUUCAUAAGAAUAUGAAUGUUAAAAAAAUUUUGUCAAAUGUAGUAAAUUAUAAUUUAAAUAUGACAAUUUUUCCUUAUAUGUCAAAUAAGGGCAAUAAAGAAAGUAAACAUUAGUAAAAAUCUGCAUUAUUAAGCUAAAAGUACAUUUAUCUACAAGCCAUUUAUAUAUUAGCUUCUGCUUUAAUAACAUUAAACAGCACUUAAACUGGUAUUCUUGUUCAGGAGAUUCAGGUUUGUUAUUUAUAUAUUUUCAGUCUACAUGCUGCGAAAGUUUUACUUGCAUCACUACAAAAUAUAUGGUUUUGACAUAAUGAAAUCUAUACUGGUUGCUUUGCAAAUUCAUGACAGACCUCUAGAUUCUUUAUGUAAACAUUUUUAAAGAGUUAUGUCCCCUACAUUAUGUUUGCACAGGGAAGCAUAAGUAUAUUUGAGCAAAAACUUACAGUAUUAUAAUUUAUACGGCAAAUUGUAUAUAUCGGUAAUAUUUAAUUUAUAUUUAGUAUCAUACCAAUGUUCUUGAGGAUAAACUGCCUCUGGCAAUAAUAUACAUAUUAGUUUAAAUCUUGUUAAACAGAACAAUUUCAUCAAAAGAACAGAUUUUUCUAUAAUGAAGUAGGAGUUUUCAAAUCAGUUCCUGAAUAAAAUAAUAUUCUAUAAAUGUCAUAAAAAUAAAUUUCCAAACUUCACAAUGUCCAAAUUAAUUAAAUGUCCUUUUUUUCAACGAAAAUAGUAGUGAAAAAUAUAGAAUUAUCAAUGUUUUUAUAGCAAUUUUUCUUCUAACUUCUUCAUUUGUUAUGGUUUUGGGACCAGUAUCUACAUUUGAUGACCUUGUGCAAUUGUCUUUAUUUUCCAUUUUUAAUUUGUAUUUCAUCUGUUUUUCAUUGCAUGGCUUAGAAUCUCUUUACAUCAUACCAGUUAUCUUCAAGAGCUAAAUAAUAAUAAUUGAAGAAAUAAUAUGAAACAGAAUAUUGUAAAGGAAUCAGGGUGUUCUAGUGGUGUGUUGUAUUACAGAAUUCAUUGGUACUACUGAAUGUUUUUUUGAAGAAAUUUUAAGCCAUAUAGCUAUUUUGAUUUAUGUAGUAAAUAUUGAAUCAAAAAAACAGAUAUCAGCUGAAUUCUUAUUUUGCAUUAUACUGUUUGGUGGGUAAUAUUUGUGUGGGAUUUAAUGUCGCUAUAUUUGCAGUCAUUAAAUGUAGCACACAAAUGAAACCCCAGUGAAUAUUUAUAUAUAUGUAUACACAAAUGUAUGAAGUGUUCACUGCAGAAUGUUUACAAGUCGGUGUUGCGCAGAAUUUAAUGCCCGCAAACUGAUAACGUUACGUCCAACUGCGAAAACAGUGAAAUAUUAGCACCAUGAAAUUUAACACCUAUACACAAGGGAAAUUCCUUCACAUUAAUUCAUGUGAACUUUAUUUCACGUGAAUUUCAUGUGGAAAAAAUUUCAGGUGAAAGAAUUUUGUCUGUAUACAGUAAUAUUUACAAUGAUUUCAGAGAUUUGAUGAGAUCUAACCUUUGCAUGUCUUCAGAACGUUCUUGAGAAUGUUUUAUAUGAUCAUGUUUAUAAGUUUGUAAAAUGACUUGACCCUUUCAUUCCCAGUACAAAAAAUGUACAGUUUUGACCUCUAUGAUAUUGUGCUCGCAAACAGUAUAUUUUUACACAAUAUAUUUUCGCAAACUGUUUUAAUUGCCAUCGCAUCUAUAUUAUGUGAUUUCUUUCUGUUAUAUUAUUUGUAAACUAUUUUUAACUGGUAGAUCAUGAUUAUAUUAAAAUAAUUAUAUGCUGAAUUAAAAUGAAGUUAUUGUAAUAAAAUGUGUAAUUUAAAACUGAUUAUGUGAAAAAUAGAAAAUAACUGCCCCCCUCUUAAUUGAUGAUAUAUGUAUUUAUUAUAUUGUAAGAAUGAAAGGGUCAAAUUUGAAGGAAUGUAUGUGCCAAUGUCCCUCUAUAUACCUGAUAUUGAAUGAUAAUAUAGCAUUAUGCUGACUAUUAUAAUCGUAAUGCCAAUAAUGCUAAGUUGUCAGCAUGUUGUAAUGUACAAUAAUAACUCCAAACAAUAGAUUAUCUACACAUUAUAACUUGCAAUAAGAAAACGCCUCAGCACAAAACUCCAGGUAUAAGAUUAAUAGGGAUAAUCUGGGAUUAUGUAAGUGAACAGAUUUAGUCUUCCAAUAUGUUCAGCUCAAUAGCCUUCGUCAUAGAAAUAUGUUCUAUCCCUUUAUAGUUAGGUGUAGCUUUUGGUUUUAUGUAGAAAAAUAAUGUUAUGCCUAUUUAUGAAUUCCACAACACAGGCAACAAAUCAGUGUACAAUUUCUCUAUUUAUCCUACAGAAAUAUAUUUGAAAAAACUAGUUCAGUUACACAAAUAUAUAUAUAUAAAUACACCAUAUAGUUUACAGUUCACAAUGUAUAUCAUAUAAAAACAUUUAAGAAUUAAUAAUGUUACACUUAUUUACAUGUAUCAUACAAAAAUGUAUAUAAAAACUAAUAACUUUCAUAUUACAUUGUAUCAGUGAUACCAUACUAUCAUAUAUUUCUUUCAACAGUAUAUUUAAGAAGUAACAAGUAACAUUUAAGACUUAUUACACAAUAUGUACAUAGCUUAUGAUAUAUUCUACCUCAAAACAUGUCACUAGCUCUGCUGAUUCCUAUGGACCAGAUUCUACUAAUAUGCUAUCACAAGGUAUCCAUCUUAGUGUUAAAUUAAUACAUUAUUUGUCAACGUCAUUACUAACCAGCGGGGUCAUUUACAGUGUAUCAGUUAUGUUUAAUGAUUUAGUUUUAGGAUAAUGAACAAGUUUGCCACAGGGAACAAUAGGAUGGUUCAGUAUUAAGUUGUUUAGUAAUGGUGUCAAUAUCAACUAGAGCAGCCAGGGUCAUUUAAGGACGUGCCAGGUUUUGGAGGUGGAGGAAAGCCGGAGUACCCGGAGAAAAACCACCGGCCUAUGUUCAGUACCUGGCAACUGCUCCACGUAGGUUUCAAACUAGCAACCCGGAGGUGGAGGGCUAGUGAUAAAGAGUUGGGGCACCUUAACCACACGGCUACUGCAUGCACAGUGGCCCAAAACUGAAAGUACUUAAAUUCAUAUGCAAUAUACAUGAUAAGUAUGAUCACAGGCAUCUGCAUCUGGUUAGUAUAGAAAUAAAUAUUAGCCUCUACUCAUACUACAGGAGUAGGGGCUAAUUUUUUUUCUUUAAAUACUUACCAGUUGCAGACGCCUGUGAUAAAGUACAUGUAUACAUGAAUAUAGACUAAAAAUGUACAUUUGUUUUUUGUUUGGAACAUUUCAUAUUCACACUCAUAUUUGCUGCAACUAAAGUUUGAAAAUGUCCGUCGAAAAAGACAGCUCAUGAACGAUGUAAAGUGAAAUAGUUCUUAAUAAUGUAGAUACUGCCUAAUCUACACAUGAAUGACAGUGAUAGGUUUUGUGAAGGUCUUUGAUAUCAUAAAAUCAAAAACUCUAAAAUCAGCUAGUAAAUAGAAUCUUUUCAGUUAGCUUUAUAAAGGACAAUUGCACAUAACCCUCUAUUAGACAUUCUAAGAGUAUUGCAAUGGCAAAGUUCCGUAGGUAUAUCUAAGGAGUUUUUUGGCGGGAAAGUGUCACUGCAUAAUCCGGAGAUUACUGGAGUGUUAUUUUAUAUACGUGUUCUGACAUUCCCAUUGCUAUACCAUGACAGAAGAAAGGUUUUUGUUAGUACGUGUUAUUCAACAACCGAUUCCAUUAACAAACAUGUUACGUAUGAUAAUAUUGACAAUAUCGAUAUUUCGUUAUUUGUUGUGUGAAAACAUACAUUCGGGUCAUUAAAAACAUAAAUACUACACCUCCCACAUAGAUACACGCAUACCGGCAUCAGCAGGUCUGUCCAAGCAUUCUAAACUUUGCCAUAAAAACAAUGUUCAGAGACUGCGAUUAGCGUAAUCGUAGUUUAACAGAAGACUUUCAAUGAGAAUAGUUCUAAAAUGUCCUGUUAAAUUAAAGUAUUUCGUCAGGUAAGACGGACACACGUUUGAGCGAAUGUAUUUACGUUAGUCUUAACACUUUUAAUGUAAUUGAACUUGUAUCUUUAGAAAUGUUUAUACUACUUUUAACCUGUCUGCAAGGCAUAACUCUUAAAUAGUAUUUGCUUAAAGAUCGUUUUCUACAGGUAGAGUUGUUGUCGUCUGUUGGUAUAUCCGAUUUAUAUUUUAAUUUUGGGUAGUCUCUAGUACCCAACUAUGAACUAGCUACAAUAUGUAGGUUAAUACUCUCUCAAAACUGUUAGAUCCUGAUUUAGGUCAAGCCUACAUAAUAAUGUAUACCAAGGUCAGUGUGAAGGUUUACCAUUUGUGACGCUGUUUCAGUACUUUUAGGCUUAGUUGAAGUACUUGCGUAUGUAUAGCGUAUUUACCUAAACCUUAGACAAACAUAUUUUGAUAAAGUGUUUUCGACAAUGUACAUACAUGUAGGUUUUAUAUUGGUGCUUGUUAGGAUUAUGGUUUUAAAUGUAAUGCUUAUUCACUAAAAUCUAUACAGCAUUUGUAUUUUGCCGAUAUAGACGGUCAGGAAUUAACUUUAAGUAGAGGAGAUGUAACGAUAGUGCAGACCAGAAAUGUCGACUCUUAGAAACAAUCCACUUCUUUGUGAAGGUACUAGUGAUCUGAAGCAAUUAUUUUCGUCAAAUUGAAAGAAAGGGACAGUAGUUAGACUACCCCGAACAUUCUUCGUUCAUGCAUGUCUUGUAUACGAGGAAGGAUAUGCUUUCGCGUUUCGAGACCUGUCGGCUUAAAUGAUUGUAUGAACGUGAUAUAUAACAAUGAUCCCAUGUCCAAGAAAGAUACAUGAUUUGUAAGCGGAAAGUCAAAAUACGGAAUACAACACAGUAGUUUUCUGGGAGAGAAAUUGAGCCUUGGUAAAUGUCAUUUAUAUUAUAUGUAGCCUGAGUGGAUUGUUUUAUCGGUCUCAAAUCAUCGAGUGAUUACAAAUUCCACAAUAAAUCGGAGGUGGCAUUGCAGAGAAUAUCGUUCAAGUAAAACAGUCGAUGAAGCUUACACCAGAUCACAAACUUUAAUACAUACAUUAUAUAUAUUACCAGUAGUUUCGUAAUUUGAAUGUUUUAUUUCCUCGUAGCAGCGUUAAAGAUAGGUUGUCAUGAUGAGAAAUUUUGGUUCAUUAAUUGAAGGUUGUCAUGAUGAGAAAUUUUUGGUUCAUUAGUUGAAGGUUGUCAUGAUGAAAUUUUUUAGUUCAUUAGUUGAUGGAACACGUACAGAACAUAUUAUUUGUAGAACAGUACAGUAUAUCAAUGCUAUGUCUUGGUAAAUACAAAAAUUCCCAUAGUUAUGUUUUAAUAUCCACAUACGAAUAUAUAAACGAUAUCUCUUUGUAGUGCAGUUGUUGUUAGGCUAGGUGUAAGAGUAUCGUAUUCACAUACAUAUAAACUUUUGAAAUAGUUCCUUGGGUUUGAGGCAAAUAACAGCUUAUUUCGUAUAGAAGAUAUUGAGAUAAUGAGAAUUAUGUAUUUUUUAUGAAAACUUAUUAGCUUAUUUUAAGUCGUGUAAGUUGUCACGGUCUUUCUGUUGUAUUGGCAUAAUAACUUUCUUCAUGGAAAUAGGCAAAAAUACAUAAACUUUCCUUUCCAAUGGUAGUAUAUGUUUCUUUCUUAUAAUGUGCAAUUAUAGUCAAUCUAGGUUGUCAACUGGGGUAAACUUGUUCUUUUGUAAAUGAGGUAAGGGUUUGAAUUAUCAUGAUGAUUAUCAACAUUCCAGGACCAUCAUUUCAUUCAGACGUGACCAUGGCAUGAUAGGUACAUCGUAUACACUGUCAUUCCAUCAUAAGAUUGUAACAUUUUUAAAGCUGACAAAAUCUGUUUACAAAAUGAAAAUUUGAAAGGGAUCAUGGCUCUUAUAUUCUGAAGCAUUUCAACACAAUAUACUAUGAUUGCAAAAUCAAAACACAGAAGUACAGGGGGCUUUAGUUACUUGUAUUAACUAACUCCAGUUUUAAUAGUAAACAUAUACAUCAUGUUCAUUAAUUGUUACGAUAUUGAUAUACACUUACAUGUAUACUAAACAUCAGUGAUUACUGGAAACGAAGGCGGUACUGAACUAUUGGUGUUCACAAAAGAAAUUAAAAGAAAAAAACAUUAUAGAGAAUAGUUAUUUUAUUGACUUUUUUAAUUUUAUUUGAAAUUAUUAUUAACGCUACUUGUUGAUUAACCUACCCUAGCCUGCAGUAGAGAAAAUUAUAAGCUGUCUUAUGCGAAAAUAUUGUCUGGAAAGAAAUAUGAAAUGCAAUGCACGUGUUUUGUAAUUUUAAAAAGGAGUGAAUGCUUGUGGUUUGGAAUACUCUCUCGUGCACAGCAUUGUUAUUUUUAUUUGGAAGAACUUAUGCUUAAAACCAAUAAUUGAUAAUGCAUGCAGUUAACAUUGUUUGCUUUUCCUGUACUUGUACGAAUAUGCUACCGGCAUGUGUGGGUGUACGGUUCUGUGCUUGAUUGUUUAUAAAGAGGGUGGAUUUGACUCUAUUGUACGAUAAACUUAUUUAAUCGUCUGACUGUGAUUUGAAGGGUGACAUAUGUAAAAUUGGCCCGAUCGUUACUGACUGUAUGGACUGUAUUGAUCAAUGCGCUUGGGACCUUAGAGUUGGAAUAUAUUCCCGCGUAUGUGUUACAAUAUAUACUUUUUUGAAGUAAUGUAUUUUUAUGUUUUUGACUAACACAUUGCGUGUAGGAUUUCUUUAUGUAUAUAUCAUCAUUGGUAUAAUUGUGACAUUUGUAUGAAAGCUCAUAUAUGUAUCUUGCAUGAGAAAUCAUGCAUAAAAUAUCAUCUGAAAUACUGA